rnacentral:rRNA from 1 species
UUAAAAUGUAAAUUAAAAUUCCAAAGUAGUAUUAGUUAUGUUCUUGAAAUUUAAAAAAUUUGGCGGUAUUUUAGUCUAUUCAGAGGAACCUGUUCUAUAAUCGAUAGUCCACGAUUUACUUUACUUAAUUUUAUAAAUUUGUAUAUCGUCGUUUAUAAAUAAUUUUAUAAGAAUGAAAAUUUUUAAAAUUUUAAAUUAAUAAAAAUGUCAGAUCAAGGUGCAGUUUAUAGUUAAGAAGAAAUGGGUUACAAUAAAUUUAUUUAUAUGGAUUAAUGUAUUUAAUAUUAUUAUGAAGGUGGAUUUGAUAGUAAUAAAAUUAAAUUAAAUUUUAU